rnacentral:rRNA from 1 species
AUCUGGGCGGCGGAAUUCAGGAUGGCUGGCGAGUUUCGCGCUUGUCCGGCCGUUUGAUAUUUCCGUCGCCGUGUCGGACGUCGCGACCUGUUCGUCGUCGGUCCUUGCUCGGAGGAAUUGCGAUCGAGUUCGCUGCGCGAUGCGUUUCGGCGUGUGGUGCGGCGAAGACGCGACUCUCUGGCCGACGACAGACAGUAAGCAACGGUGUCCGACGCCGUGUCUCGCACUCGGCGCCGGUGCCGGUCUGCGACGAUUUCUUCGGGCCUCUUUCCGACCCGUCUUGAAACACGGACCAAGGAGUCUAACAUGCGCGCGAGUCGCGGGGUUUCGAGUGCGCUACGGCGCGCUCGUUACUUGCGAAACCCGUACGUGGAAGGCGUAAUGAAAGUGAACAGGGAAGAUGGCGUUCCGAGUCCACGUACCGUGAUCGAGUGUCGCGGCCGGACGUCCGCACUCCCGGGGCGUCUCAAUGGUUCGUCGCGGACGCGGACGGUCGUCUCUCGGGGCGAUGGUCGGUCUGCGCCGGACCGA